AGCCCCCUUCUUACUUCCUUUGGCGGGAGGGGCCCGCGGCUACAGGGGAGGGAAGCUGGGCCCGGGGGCGGGGAGAGAACCCAAACAGGGCCGAGGGAGCUGGUGGUUUGGAACUCUGAGCCUGAAGAGAGAGAUUAAGGAUGGAUGGCACCCGCUACCAGACCCCAGAAAGCCGCUUCUCAGACUCCUCCGGGAUACAGGUACAGCAAACAGCACGCAGGUCUGCAGGACUGACUGCACUCUCCUGGGCUACUCAGGUCUCUUCGAAACCACUUCAGACGUGCGUCUGCUCUGGGCAUCGCAAACUCUCACUUCCAGAAUCUUUUUGGCAGGUCCUUCCUCCCUAAGGGACCUUGGGGAGCCAUGUGUGUUUUUGUCCGGGGAAGGGCAGCGGGAGUGGAGGGUACCAAGAGCGAGGGGCUCACAUUUGGGAUUAAUGACCCCCAGCUCUGCCGCUUCCGGGAUCUCGCCAUCUUCUUAUCGUAAAACAGCUGUGGAGGGCCCUUGUGGCACACAUGGGAUCCAUUAGGUGCUGGCCCACCUGAUCUUUGGGAGACCAGUAGGCUGUGUCCUGGACUCUUCACGUUUGAGGAAAUGGCAGUUCCGAGAGGUUGUCAUCUCCCGGUGCCACACGGCGAGGAGGUGGGGGGGCAGAAGCUGACCCUGGCAGGGAUCCCUGCGGACGGAGGACAGAGAUCCCGGCGGCACCCAGCAUCCCGCCUGGAGGUUGGCACACCAUGGCGCCCCCUAGUGGCCACGUCUGGGGAGGAGCCCGUUUCUGCCUGGAUCUCCUGGGCAAGUUUGCUCAACCGACUUGGGUGGGGGACUGCAAACCUCAGCAAUACCUUCAGGGACUAGUCGGAAGGACCCCCAUCUUGCUGGGGGCGUCAGGGGAGGCUUCUCGAAGAAAGCGAUAUUGGUGCUGAGACUGCACGAUUGAGGACCUUGAACUCCAGGACCCUCACUCUUCUCAGGGUAUUUGCAUAUUUUGUGUUCAGGGUAAUUGACAGUAUGCUAAUGACAAUGGAUGAUGGUUCCUCCUUAGCAAGUUAGUGAUGUAUGAUAGGGCCUGGUGCUAAUAAAGGGUGUCACAUGGA